rnacentral:rRNA from 1 species
AUUGAACGCUGGCGGCAGGCCUAACACAUGCAAGUCGAACGAGUGGCGGACGGGUGAGUAAUGUCUGGGAAACUGCCUGAUGGAGGGGGAUAACUACUGGAAACGGUAGCUAAUACCGCAUACCAUCAGAUGUGCCCAGAUGGGAUUGGCUUGUUGGUGGGUUAACGGCUAACCAAGGCCACGAUCCCUAGCUGUCCUGAGAGGUGGACCGGCCACACUGGAACUGAGACACGGUCCAGACUCCUACGGGAGGCAGCAGUGGGGAAUAUUGCGCAAUGGGCGCAAGCCUGAUGCAGCCAUGCCGCGUGUAUGAAGAAGGCCUUCGGGUUGUAAAGUACUUUCAGCGGGGAAGCGUUACCCGCAGAGGAAGCACCGGCUAACUCCGUGCCAGCAGCCGCGGUAAUUC